rnacentral:piRNA from 1 species
UAGGACUCUCCUUGGGCACAGCCCAUACCUG